AUGGAAGACUUUGUGGCUUGGAGAUUCACAAAGAACUACAUUUUUUCGGUAAGAUCAACUUAUUAUGUUGAAUGGGAACACCAGUUUUCUCGCUGGUACGAAAGAACAGAGGGGCAACCGUCUCAACGUCACCCGGUUUGGGCAAAUCUUUGGAGUUCCCAAGUACCAGCAAAGAUCAAGAUCCACGCAUGGAAGGUCCUGCAUGGAUUCAUUCCUUGUUAUGGGGUCCUGGUGAAUCGGCACAUUGGCACGACGGAUAGUUGUCCUAUGUGUGCGGGUGGAUGUGAAGACAUUAUGCAUUCACUUUUUACUUGCACUAGGGCAGCUGAGAUUUGGAGAUGCCUGAAGCUGGAUAAGUUUAUAGAAGAAGCUUGCUCGACCGAUAGGGCGGGAGCGGCGGCGUUGGACUAUAUUUUAUGUGCUCCGGCUCGGCGGAGUUCGAUAUCACAUGUUACUGCCCAAGCUCUCAUCCUUGUGGGAAUUUGGUAUAUAUGGUGGGAACGACGACAACACGUCCAUGGCCAAGAUGUGCAAACCCCGACUCGGUCAGCGUUGUCUAUCGCGGCGCUAACCGCUAAUUAUCUGAAGGCCAUGAAGAAAAGUGCAGAACCAAGGAGAGAUGGUUGGACGAAGCCGCUUGAAGGUUUUGUGAAGGUAAAUGUAGAUGCAUCUUUCAAAGCACACUCUCUUCAAGGAGCUAUAGGUGCUGUGGUACGAGAUUAUAAAGGUGCGUUCAUCACGGCGUCGAACGAACAGCUUGAACAUGUCGCAGAUGCAGGGACGCCGGAAGCUUAUGCAUUACGACAUGGUUUACUUUUGGCGCAACAGCUGGGGAUAAGCAAGCUUGUGGUGGAGUCGGACUGCCUCGAGGUGAUCAAUACUAUGAAUAAUGGAGGCUUUACGGUUUCAGGUGCAGCGGCGAUUUACUCGGAUUGUUUGGUUCUCAUCAUAGGAUACGCUUCGGUCAUUUUUGUCCAUUGCCCGAGAGAAGCAAAUUCUGUAUCUCAUGAGUUAGCUAGGUUGGCGAGGCCUUCCCCAUUGCUUUGGCUGGAGGAACCGCCGGCUUUCAUUGUAAAAAGCUUGGUGGACGAUGUAACAGUUUUAUGA
rnacentral:rRNA from 1 species